GGGGGGAGCCCUUCUAAUUCGAGGCAGAGGCGAGGGGCGGUAGUGGGCUUUAAUAACCGGGAAAACGAUUUUGUGGCCGUCGGAUGAAGAUGAGAGCAAGAGGAAAAACAUACAGGACUGGAAGAUCAUCUCGGUGCAUGGUGGUUACCUCUCCCUCUUUGAACUUGGAGGAGAACCUGGAAGAGAGAGCAAUGCAGAGAAUUUCGAUCUGGAGAGCCUGCGACGUACUGAUGGUCUCCAUAUGCUUCUCCCCUUUUUCAUUGACGUUCGGCUUUACUAGACUGUUGAAGAUGAUGCGUUUUAUGCUCCUGGAGGGAAGACGACUAAUGAGUUAUGGAGAACUACAGUGGGAUAACUUCAUUUUUGUCAUUAAGUUAAGUGCAGAAAUGAAUGGUGAAAAGGUUUAUAUUCCAAAUGACUAGAGCUCAUGCACGUGAUGUCACCAUUUUCACGGCCCCAUAUUGCCAGUCAAAAAGAUGCUCGACAGUGUGGGGGACAUUGAAACGGAGCAAAAUAUUCUCAAUGCCUGAGACUUGUGCUGUUGGUUGUCACAUCAGACGAGACAGAUAUUCAGAGAUCAUUCUAUGGAAUACCAGCUGAAAAGAGCAGAAAAGAUCGGCAAUUAAACGUUAUGGAUGGUGCCCAACCAAAUA